GGCAUCGGCGCUUGGCCGGACGAGGCAGACGUGCAGCGUUUGCUGGCGGGGCGCGAUCGUCAUGCGCCGGUGCCGC
rnacentral:tRNA from 1 species